rnacentral:RNase_P_RNA from 4 species
UGCAACAGAGAGCAAACCGCCGAUGGCCCGCGCAAGCGGGAUCAGGUAAGGGUGAAAGGGUGCGGUAAGAGCGCACCGCGCGGCUGGUAACAGUCCGUGGCACGGUAAACUCCACCCGGAGCAAGGCCAAAUAGGGGUUCAUAAGGUACGGCCCGUACUGAACCCGGGUAGGCUGCUUGAGCCAGUGAGCGAUUGCUGGCCUAGAUGAAUGACUGUCCACGACAGAACCCGGCUUAUCGGUCAGUUUCACCU